CCAUUGUGACGUCGGCGCCCAUGGGUUCUCUCCCUUUUCGAAACGUUUUGAAAGACAAUGCAACCGUCCCAAUGGAAUAUUAUUGAAGCCCUGGUUGAAAAAGCCCCUAAAGAUUUAUGUUAUACAACGUUUGACAUGUUUGAACGAACUUAAAUAUAUAUUUUUUUGCUCAUUCCUGACGACAAGUCAGACGCACACGGUACAUUUUCACUAGCCUUCGGAGCGUGCUAACACUAUUGGGACAUAAAUUAUUAACUUUUUUGAACAAAACUACAUUUGUUAUGGACCUGGGAUUCCUAGAAGUGCCUUCUGAUAAAGAUAAUCAAAGUAUGGCCAUAAUGACCUGACCUUUGAGACCGUGUCAUUAGUCCCGUAUGACAGGAAGCUGAUUGACACCUCCCUCAUGAGCCGCAACAGGUGGCAAAUCGCAUCUCUGCAUGUCUGGCAGACAUAUCAGUGUGGAUGACGGAUCACCAUCUCAAGCUGAACCUCGGCAAGACGGAGCUGCUCUUCCUCCCGGGGAAGGACUGCCCGUUCCAUGAUCUCGCCAUCACGGUUGACAACUCCAUUGUGUCCUCCUCCCAGAGUGCUAAGAGCCUUGGCAUGACCCUGGACAACACCCUGUUGUUCUCCGCUAACAUCAAGGCGGUGACCCGAUCCUGUAGGUUCAUGCUCUACAACAUUCGCAGAGUAUGACCCUGCCUCACACAGGAAGCGGCGCAGGUCCUAAUCCAGGCACUUGUCAUCUCCCGUCUGGAUUACUGCAACUCGCUGUUGGCGGGGCUCCCUGCCUGCGCCAUUAAACC
rnacentral:lncRNA from 1 species